rnacentral:rRNA from 1 species
UGGUCAAGUUAUUAAGGGUGCAGGGCGGAUGCCUUGGCACUAGGAGCCGAUGAAGGACGUGAUAAGCUGCGAUAAGCUUCGGGGAGUUGCACGUAAACUUUGAUCCGAAGAUUUCCGAAUGAGGAAACUCACUUAGAGUAAUGUCUAAGUAUCAUUAAGUGAAUACAUAGCUUAAUGAGGGGAACUCAGGGAACUGAAACAUCUAAGUACCUGAAGGAAGAGAAAGAAAUUCGAUUCCGUAAGUAGCGGCGAGCGAACGCGGAUUAGCCCAAACUAAUAAAGUUUUCUUUAUUGGGGUUGCGGACAUAUCAUAACGAAGAGGUAUCGUAAUUGAAGAGGUUUGGAAAGACCCACCACAGAAGGUAAUAGUCCUGUAUGUUAAACGAGAAGACUUUAGAUAUGAUCCAGAGUACCACGGGACACGUGAAACCCUGUGGGAAGCAGGAGGGACCACCCUCCAAGGCUAAAUACUACCUAGUGACCGAUAGCGUAUAGUACCGUGAGGGAAAGGUGAAAAGAACC